GCAAGUCGAACGGGAUCCCAGGAGCUUGCUCCUGGGUGAGAGUGGCGAACGGGUGAGUAAUGCGUGACCGACCUGCCCCAUACACCGGAAUAGCUCCUGGAAACGGGUGGUAAUGCCGGAUGCUCCAGUUGACCGCAUGGUCCUCUGGGAAAGAUUCUUCGGUAUGGGAUGGGGUCGCGUCCUAUCAGCUUGAUGGCGGGGUAACGGCCCACCAUGGCUUCGACGGGUAGCCGGCCUGAGAGGGCGACCGGCCACAUUGGGACUGAGAUACGGCCCAGACUCCUACGGGAGGCAGCAGUGGGGAAUAUUGCACAAUGGGCGCAAGCCUGAUGCAGCGACGCCGCGUGCGGGAUGACGGCCUUCGGGUUGUAAACCGCUUUUGACUGGGAGCAAGCCCUUCGGGGUGAGUGUACCUUUCGAAUAAGCACCGGCUAACUACGUGCCAGCAGCCGCGGUAAUACGUAGGGUGCAAGCGUUAUCCGGAAUUAUUGGGCGUAAAGGGCUCGUAGGCGGUUCGUCGCGUCCGGUGUGAAAGUCCAUCGCUUAACGGUGGAUCCGCGCCGGGUACGGGCGGGCUUGAGUGCGGUAGGGGAGACUGGAAUUCCCGGUGUAACGGUGGAAUGUGUAGAUAUCGGGAAGAACACCAAUGGCGAAGGCAGGUCUCUGGGCCGUCACUGACGCUGAGGAGCGAAAGCGUGGGGAGCGAACAGGAUUAGAUACCCUGGUAGUCCACGCCGUAAACGGUGGAUGCUGGAUGUGGGGACCAUUCUC
rnacentral:rRNA from 1 species